rnacentral:rRNA from 1 species
AUACGUAGGGUGCAAGCGUUAAUCGGAAUUACUGGGCGUAAAGCGUGCGCAGGCGGUUUUGGAAGACAGAGGUGAAAUCCCCGGGCUCAAACCGGGAACUGCCUUUGUGACUGCAAGGCUAGAGUACGGCAGAGGGGGAUGGCAUUCCGGGGGUAGCAGUGAAAUGCGUAGAUAUGCGGAGGAACACCGAUGGCGAAGGCAAUCCCCUGGGCCUGUACUGACGCUCAUGCACGAAAGCGUGGGGAGCAAACAGGAUUAGAUACCCUGGUAGUCCACGCCCUAAACGAUGUCAACUGGUUGUUGGGGAUUUAUUUUCUCAGUAACGAAGCUAACGCGUGAAGUUGACCGCCUGGGGAGUACGGCCGCAAGGUUAAAACUCAAAGGAAUUGACGGGG